CCAUGCCAGAGCAAAGCGGGGACCGCCGUCGGUCCUCCUCGGGCCCGCACGGCCCUUGAGAAGGGCGGCAGGAGGCCGCGCACAAAGCCGCCGGCCCCCCUCCCUCCCCGCCGCAGCCCGAGGCGACGCCGCCUGCCCCCACUCCCCGGCUGGACCCAACCGGCGGGCCCUCCCCUCCCCCCUCGCCUCGGCAGCUCCCUCCCUCCCUGCCUCCCUCCCGGGGCGCUCGGAAAUGGAGCCCAGCGAAGCCUGAGGCCUAGCGAGGCGGGCGGCGCCGCAGGCCCGAGAGCCGCGCCCGCCCCUCCGCUGCACGCCGCGGGACGCGGGCACGGCCCUCCCGCCCUCAGCGGCACCCCGGGGCCGGUCCCGCUCUCCACCACCCCGCUCCCCGCCGAGGUGAAGGCAGAGGGACGCCGCACUCACCACACGGGCCGGGCUCCCGGCAGCGGCCUCCGGCCCCCUCAGCUGCGGCACACGGGGGCGGCCGCAGCGCCCUCCACCUCCUGCACCCGCCGGCUCCGGGCUCCCCCCGCCGCCUCCUCCCACCGCCCCUCCGCUGCCCCCUCCGCCGCCGCUGCAGCAGCGGCCAUCUUGUGCGUCGGCUGCCUCCCUGCGCGCUGCCUCCCUCCCCUUCCUGCGCCCGGCCCCCAGCAGGCGGAGGAACCGGCAGAAACAGCCGAGUCACGGGCCGGGCCCUGCGGGGCGAGGGGCUGCCGGGCGGGGGAGCUGUCACCGCCGGCAGCUGCUGCCGGGGCGGCGCGCUGCUGUCUUUGCUUUCUGUGUCUUUGGAAAGGCUUUGGUGUAUAACCCACACAGUGAGGCCCAUGCAGGAUGCUGCACGUGGAAUCCUUGCAUUGCUAACCACUUCACAAUACUGCAAGGAUCAUGCACUGCUCUGUCAGUUCAACAUCCCAACAGCAGAGGACUGCGUGACCUUCAUAUACCAUUGAAGCAGUGUGAUGUCAGCUGAGGAAUAACCAGGCUCAGAGUCAGGGCCUGGAGAUAGCAACCUGGAAAAGGAUGCAGGGUCACGUCAUGCGGACAGACCUGGAAACAAAUAUCUAGAGCCUCUUAGACAAAGGGGAAAGCUUACAUGGAGUUUUAUAUUAAGCUCAUCUUUCUGGCUCUUUUGUUCAUUGCAGAAUGCUAUGAUUUUCAUAUUAAUUUUACAAGAAUUGUGGUGGUGAUAGCUAAAUAUUAAUGCUAUCACUUUUAAUGAUUUUAAUAAUGUCACUUUCAGUCACACUUCUAUUUGGAGUUUUCCACCAACAUAAUUGAACUUCAUGCUUUUCAAGAAUCAGUGCUUGAGUAAAAUAAUAUCAAGAAUAGGCAUUUGGCAUUCUAUGAACGUGGAAGAUUAGGAUCUUUGCAAAGGCCACUUUUAACUUAGCCAGGCUCAAUUCUAAAUGAUUUUGCCACCUAGGGUGUAAAUUGUGUGCUCUGAAUGACCCAUUAGAUGUUCCUUGGCCUAUUUUUCACUAUUGCCUAGAGAAAUGAGAAAACCUUCAUGAAUUAGUCCUUCAGCAAUUAUGGGUGUGAACUUAGAGUGAACUUCUUCUAUAAGAAGUGCAACUUGCACAGUUUAAUAUGGAAAUGUGAAUCUCAAACAUUAUGGCUGUUUUAUUGUUAUGUCAAAGAGCUUAACAGAAAAGAUGUAAAAGCCUAAGGACAACAGAAAUGUAAAUCAACAUUUGUAAGCACUGAAAUCCUUUGUACCAUCUUUACACAAUUAAAUAUCCUGAUGAAUGAUUUAAUCAAGACUGUCAAUGUUUGCCAGCUUCAGAAGUCAGGGAUGAUCACAGAUCAGAACAUUAUUACAUUUUUAUCAUUAUGUUCACAUUGUAAUACUUCCUCCAGUGACACACUAAGACCACUUGUUCGUAAUGACUGUAAAUUAUGUAAGAGCCUGUCUUGAAGCACAAUCUUUCAUAUGACCACUUGGCAAAUUGCAGCAUGGUUUAUUAUAAAAAAAAUCUGAAUCGUCAUACUGCUAUCUAAUUAACCCCUCUGCUUGCAAAUGAACUAUGAAACUAUCUCUGCACGUUAUCCUGUAUGAAUUUGAAUAUCUACUUCAUCCUAUUCUAAUUUUAAACAUUCCAUAUCACAGAAAACUUUGAACCAACAAUUGCUGUCUUUUGCAUGUUCCUCUCCUAAAUGUUAUGCUGGAAGUGUGAACCUUGCUGAAGUUGCUAGUAUCUUGUUCAGACAUAGAAGGAGCUAAAAUGGUAGGUGUUCUCUGCAAACUUUGUUUAAAGAAGAAACAGUUGAGGCCUAAGGACAUACUCCUACUUCCUAGUGUGUAUCAAGUGGUGGUACAGAGUACAUAAUCCUAGUAUUUUAUUCAGUUAUGUUCUCAGUACUUCAUUCAGGAGCCUUCUACGACUUCCUAUAGUCAGUUCCUAUAUAUUAUUCCUGUCUAUUGAAAGAUUUUCAUUUUCAGGUAGCUUACGUUUGCCCUCAACAUUUAAUUCUAUUACCACUUAGUAAAUUCUGUUACCAGUAUUUACUCACUAACAACCAUAUUACAACAUAGUCUAUUACUGUACCGCAUUGUUUAGAGAAGUGGGAUCUGGAAUGACCUAUGCUUAUUAAGUAACAUUGCAAAGAUGACUGCUCUGGAUUUCGUAACCCAUUUUAAAUCUUCAUCAGAGUAACACUUCUAGGUGAUUAUUCUUUGUCCUGGAUUUUAAAUGUUCAGAAAUUUGUGGGUGAGCUUUUCCUUCUUUUUCUUUUCUUUUUUUUCAGCAGUUGAUCUCACGAGAUGGCUAGUUUAUUCUUCAUGUUCACUUUCUCCACUUAUCCACCAUUACUUCCUGUAUGAUAUUCUGCUUCAACAUUUGAAACACAAAAAAUUUACUUUCAGGAUUACUGUUUUCAUAUCUCAUUUCAGCUUUUUAAUUCUGCUGUCAUUUAUCUCCGCUUAUUCACAUUGUUCUCUUUUUUUUGUCCUUAAAAAACAACAGAAAUUAGUUUAGAUUCUACAAUACCAUGCGUCAGUUUUCCAUUUCAUCUUUAUUCUUUUUGUUCCUCUCACCAACGAGAUGCUAACGGAGGCACAGUUCUAGGAUGUUACAUUUGUGGCCAAGCUAGUAGCCUUCAGAUUCAUUAGAAAUGAGUCCCUCUACUAGCCUACAUGACUGAGAGAAAUAGGUAAAGUAUCAAUGCGACUGUGAAAUAGUAUCAUUUUGAUUAUUUAAUUUAUAUGAGUUUCCAUAUGAAACUUCAGUGCAGUAGCACAGUAGCCAUCUUCAUAAAAGGGAAUGAUUUUUAAUGAGUCGGCAGUGUUUCAGUUUGCUAUUUCAGUUACCUGCAUGACCUAUGAAGCUGAUAAUAAUGGAAAUUUUCUCAUUUUGAAACCUGUGAUAUCAAAAUGAAAGGAAAGAAAGAAAUAGUUUUCCAACUGGCUUCAAGCAUUAAAAAACAUUCCUGUUAUUUCACAUAUGCUGGACUCUUGCAUACAUCACAUAAAAUAAAAGAUAACACUAGAGGAAAUCUUCAGCAGUUUGGUGUGCUUGACCGUAUGCAUUAACAAACCUAAAAUUCCUGCUGUUUUAUAAAAUGUCACUGACAGAAGCAGAAGACAGAAGCGUGUCCUUCCAAUGUUAAAAUUGCAAAAGUAAACAAUAUUCCUUAAAGAAUAUGCUGAAUAUCGUCCAAAUGAAAGUUCAGAUGCAACUUUCAGAACUAGUCAUAUAUGCUAAUUGUAAAGUAAUAAGAGGAUGAGAACAAAGUAAAGUCUUCCACUGUGGAAGGGCAUGCCCAGUAUCUUAACCAUACUGACAUAUAAGGUUUAGACUUCACUUACAUGAGAGGGCAUGCCCAGUAUCUUAAUCAUAUUGACAUAUAAGGUUUAGAUUUCAUUUAUAUGAGAGAAGCCUUAGUGGUGUAAUGGAAUGUGAAGGGCAUAAGUGUGAGAUUCAUAUUAUCUCCAUGAAUGCUUCUCUCUCUACCAUUCAAUUUACACAAGCAAGGUAAUACUGUGUAACUCUCCAAAUGUUUUUGUAUUUGUUUAAAAAUCUGUAAAACUUCAGUUCUAUGAUGUUACGUGCAACGGAUUUGCAGGAUAUCAGUACAGUUAACAUUUGUGUUUUCUGGUUGCUAGGAAUGACAUAAUCUACAUAAGUAUACACUGUGGCUUCAGUUGGUGUUAAAAAAUAAAUAUAUAAUAUCGGAAGGAACGGCAAGGAAGGUAAGAAACUUCCCUCUGAUGAUUUCUCAAGACAGGUUUCACUUCACUGUAACACCUCAUUAGUCUCCUUAUCCCACUGACAUUGAGGGAUCCUAUAGACUGACACAGUAGAGUGUCUCAGAUUCUCAUGGUACUCCUUAGUGCCUUUUUGCUUACUUGUCUUUGCCUUGCUUGCUUUAGCUGUAUGUCUUCCAGUGUCAUCCAGCACCAUCUCUUUCCAGGCAGGAGGGAAAAACAAAACAAAACAAAACAAAGCGAAAAAAUCCAAUGCCUGGAAGCAAUAUAAGUAAAGUCAAGGCAUAACAGGGACACAAACCCAUUCUGAAGCUGUGGGGAUAUCAGAGAUUUAAUGCUCACAGGGCAGAGCAAGUCGAAGGCACUACAACAUAUUUGUCGUUUUGGUGCCCUCUGCUGAAAUAACCACCUGUUUGGCUUCUGAAUCCCCCGUGGGGAGUGCCAAGUGCCAUACGCUGCUACCUCUUUAUCUUGCAGUUUAGUUCCUUUUUGUUUCCUUUUCUACCUCAACAAAAAGCAGCACAAGUUUUUCCUUUGCUUCCUUUGGUGGUACUUUUGUUGUGAAAUCUGUUCUCUUCCUUACUACCAUUGUUACACAGCAGUUUGCAACAGCCUUUCCCUGAGAGUGCUGACGAUGAGAAUUAAGCAAAUUACAUUUUACAAGAAUACCAGCUUGCAUGCGUUUAAAACCAAACACCGCUUACAGUAACCGCAUCAUUUUUGUUCCUUUCUGGCAGAUUCCUCACGUUCUGUAAAACUGGAGGAAAAAGACAAGCGUGAUACAGUCAGCAUGGGUUUUCUGCAGCAAUUCGGUGUCUUUGCUGAGCUGCCUGUAAAACCACAACCUUACUCUCACUUUGAAAGGGAAGCUAAAUGUAGUAGAUGUUGAGCAACUGUUCAGGUUCACACAGCAAGCAGUGGCAAGAUAAGGAAUAAAACCCUGACGCAUGGUCUGGUCUCCUAACCACUAGACAUCACUGCGUGCUCCACACUUACGCAAGUUACAGUAAUUGCAUUAUGAGUAAACUAUUAUCUGAGUAAUUUUUCCAAUCAAUCUUCCAAGUAAAAAGUGGGACUCCCUCACCUUUCUGCGGUGCAAUUCUGUAGAAAAAGAAAACACUGUUUCCAGGAGCUACUUUGCUUUGUAUCACCCGUAAAGACUGAAGUGUUGCACUGGUUUGGUUUGAGAACAUCCAAUACACCUCUUCCCCGGCGCGUCUUCCAGCAAACAGAAUUGUCAGUUCUUGCAGGAAAAUGAAAGCAAAGGACCAAAUAAGCUUUAAUACAUUAAUGAUGCAUGUGUAAAGCAAGUUUGGGUGGUAUUUUCUGUUGUUGUUGUUUGGUUGUUAAAUUAUUACUAUUAUUAGUGGGGCUAUCUAGUAGCUUCUGCUUUUU
ensembl:lncRNA